CCAGACUCCUACGGGAGGCAGCAGUAGGGACUCUUGCUCAAUGGGGGCCCCCCUGAAGCCGCCCCGCCGCGUGGCGGCUGAAGGUUUUAGGCUUGUAAACUCCUUUUGUUAGAGCAGCUUCUGACGGACUCUCACGAAUAAGCACCGGCUAACUCCGUGCCAGCAGCCGCGGUCAUACGAAGGGUGCGAGCGUUAAUCGGAAUUACUGGGCGUAAAGCGCUCGUAGGCGGUAUGUCAAGUCAAGGGUGAAAUCCCCGCGCUCAACGUGGGAACUGCCUUUGAAACUGGCAAACUGGAGUGUGUGAGAGGAUAGUGGAAUUCCAGGUGUAGGAGUGAAAUCCGUAGAUAUCUGGAGGAACAUCAGUGGCGAAGGCGACUAUCUGGCACAUAACUGACGCUGAUGAGCGAAAGCGUGGGUAGCAAACAGGAUUAGAUACCCCAGUA
rnacentral:rRNA from 1 species